rnacentral:rRNA from 1 species
UACGGGGGGGGCAAGCGUUGUUCGGAAUUACUGGGCGUAAAGGGCUCGUAGGCGGCCAACUAAGUCAGACGUGAAAUCCCUCGGCUUAACCGGGGAACUGCGUCUGAGACUGGCAAGCUCGAGUGCAGGAGAGGAACGCGGAAUUCCAGGUGUAGCGGUGAAAUGCGUAGAUAUCUGGAGGAACACCGGUGGCGAAGGCGGCGUUCUGGACUGCAACUGACACUGAAAAACGAAAGCCAGGGGAGCAAACAGG